rnacentral:lncRNA from 1 species
CCCAGGACUAGGGCUGCCUGCGUGGCGGCCGAGAACAGCGGGCCUUGGGUCUGUAGAGGACAAGGCAGGAGACCAAGAGACGUUUGUGACCCACCACCUCCCCAGUGGUUUUCGUCUGCUGAGGACACCUGCUACAGAGCAGUUUCGUUACACUUCAGUGGCCUUUGUAGAGAGUGGGGGCUUCUGGGAUUGCCCUGUGAAUCAGGAAUCCGGGCAGGUGGCUGGGUUUUUGACUUGCUGCUUGAAGGAGCUUCAAGGGAGGAAGCAAAAAUGAUUGCAGGUUUUGUGGGGGGACCGCAGAGGAACCUAGGUGGGAUACAUAUACUAACCUCUUUGCCAUCCCUGGGCUCUUUCACCUGCCCUGUCUUUAUGGUUGGCCUUGGACUGGGACUUAUGUUGGGAAAUGUGUCCUUGGCCUCCUCAGCACUGCAGUCUGAGAGGAGACAGACAUCAGGAAUAGAAGCUGAGGGUUGAGCAUUGUUAGGACAGCCCCAUGGUAGUCCAGAGGAGAAGGUACCCACAUGGACGAUGUUGCCUGAGGUACACUUCCGGAAGUGGGAUCCUGGAGGAGCAGGCGAGCCUGCAGCCUCAGUUCUGGCUCUUUAACCAUGAACAAGUAGUGGCUCAGUUUCAGCCAGGUGUCUGGAUCCCGGCUGAGGAGACAGUGCAGAGGUGGCCUGGACAGCGUCUGCACCUUUCUGGCUCUAGGUGCUUUACUGCUAGACACCCGUGUUGGCUUCUGUGUUCUUGUAUUGACCUCCUGGCACAAAUUGACCCCACCCCCAGGUGUGACAUGUUCUAGAUCCCUCUUAGACCCAUUCAGGUCCCAGCAAGUGUCACCCCAUUCCCAGUGACCUCCUGACAGUACUUUGGCUUUCCCUGUGGCUGGGCCACACUCCCAACUCAGACUGCUUUUGCUGUCCCUUCCAAGUCUCCAGUGGGAUCUACACUUGUCUCUGGGUGAAGUGACGAAUAGAUUGCUGCCUGUGCGGUGUCUCACUAAGUAUUUGCUUACUCUGGAGAGUGUACCACUGAUUUUAAGUGGAAGUCCUUGUAUGGCCUGGUCCUCCCUGACACUCCUUUCUUGUUCCUUCUCUCCUCCAGGGCUAACAUUCUCUGGAUGGCACCUCUGUCUCCUGCCAGGAAACACGCCCUCUGCUUCCUGCCUGGAUCUCUCUCACCACUGUUCCUGCUCUAGGGACACUUACCCAUGUUCUCUUACUCCUCUAGAACCCUCCACUGACCCCUUUGGUCUGGGUGUAAGUUUGGUCCCUGAAUCCCCAGCAGGGUCUGGCUUCCAGACUGCAGAAUUUGCCAUGGGGACUCCUCAUGACAGCCAAGGUCUGUGGGGCAGGCAUCAUGCCCAGUAGUUUCUGUUGCCCUGUCUACAGCCUCAGACAGCACUUUCAUUAGCACCAAUUGGAGGCUGGUACCUCAGAGUCCCACAAGAACCUGCUGAGAGCAGCACUCGCUGUCUUCCAGUGUCACGGCAUCCGUGGGGUUUGAGGGAUGUCAGGACCCUGGAGAGAUGGCCGGGGCAGCCUCAGCAAGGACAGCCACAUGCAGCUAGAGAGCAGUCAUCUAGGGGUAAGGGUUGCUCAGCCUCACCGGAGGCAAAGGCCAGAAGCCCGGUCUUCUCUGUCCCAUGCAGUGACAGAUGAUGCUCUGCAGUGCACCAGGCAGUGGAGUGCUAUCUGUCAGCUAUGUUUUCAGUCUAGGGCUUUGAAACUAGGUAACAGUUUUGUUGCCCUCAUCUCAGACCUAUCAGUGUGUGUUGCUGAAGGCUGCUGUUGAAGCACUGGUAAACAGCCUCUGCUCCUGCUGGUCAGAAAGUUCUGCUACGAUGGGUUUGUUGCUGUUUUCUUUUUUCUUUUUUUUUUUUUUUCUUUUUUUCAGUUUUGUGAGACAGGCAGGGCUUUCCUCAGGGUAGCGCUCAGGGUGGCCUGGAUCUAGCUUCCCACACAGCGGCUAUGUGCUGGGAUCGCAGGCACUUCACUGAUUUACAGUGUCGCCUUGUGCUGCAGGGCUUCUUGUGCUUUGGGUGCACGGGCCUCGAGUGUGAGAAGAAGCUGGCAAGGCGGGAAGCCUCACGAGCACUUGGUGGCGUGCAUGUGUGGAGGCCAGGGACCUUUGCUGCACUUGGAAAGGGGACCCAAGUCAGAAAGUGAACAAUUUCAGUCUCGGUGUCUAUUCAGACCUGGGUAGAGUCACAGUUGCUACAUGCUCAAUUACCAGCACUGGAGUUCUCUAAAAUUCAGCUUAAACAUCUUUUCUUUAUUUUCCAAAAGGGAUCUUUUAGGUUGUCAUAUUUGUUUGUUUGUUCGUUUGUUUGUUUAUUGAGCUGAUCACACCAUGUAGCCCUGGCUCACCUUGCACUCACAGAGACCCAGUUGCUCAGGCCCCACAUGCUGGGAUUAAAGCCUGGCCCAGCAAGCCCAGCACAUCCUCAUCUUUCUAGAGCAUAAGCUUGGCACCCAGCUCCCUUUAGGAUGUUUUGAGAAUACACUUCUGUAGGAGAGGCACUUACAGUGCUCGCCCAGGCUCCAAACCCAGAACUCUGACGGAGCAAAACUUAAUUCUCUGGGGCCAGCAAAAAGGGGAGGAAAACACACACACAUACACACACACACACACACACACACACAAACACACACACUUGUGGAUGAAGCAAGGCUCCAACAACUUUAUUUUUCCCCUUACAGCUUAUACAUCCCAGCAAAAUCCUACAAGCAAUAUAAAAAUUACAAUGUGGUUACAUUCUAUUUUUUGUUUUUUGUUUUUUUUUAAAGAUUUAUUUAUUACUAUACAUAAGUUCACUGUAGCUGACUUCAG